rnacentral:rRNA from 1 species
GACGAACGCUGGCGGCGUGCUUAACACAUGCAAGUCGAACGAUGAAGCACCAGCUUGCUGGUGUGGAUUAGUGGCGAACGGGUGAGUAACACGUGAGUAACCUGCCCCUCACUCUGGGAUAAGCCUGGGAAACUGGGUCUAAUACUGGAUACGACCGAUCUCCGCAUGGAGUGUUGGUGGAAAGUUUUUGUGGUGGGGGAUGGACUCGCGGCCUAUCAGCUUGUUGGUGGGGUAAUGGCCUACCAAGGCGACGACGGGUAGCCGGCCUGAGAGGGCGACCGGCCACACUGGGACUGAGACACGGCCCAGACUCCUACGGGAGGCAGCAGUGGGGAAUAUUGCACAAUGGGCGAAAGCCUGAUGCAGCGACGCCGCGUGAGGGGUGACGGCCUUCGGGUUGUAAACCUCUUUCACCAGGGACGAAGCUAACGUGACGGUACCUGGAGAAGAAGCACCGGCUAACUACGUG